rnacentral:rRNA from 1 species
GACGAACGCUGGCGGCGUGCUUAACACAUGCAAGUCGAACGGAAAGGCCCUGCUUUUGUGGGGUGCUCGAGUGGCGAACGGGUGAGUAACACGUGAGUAACCUGCCCUUGACUUUGGGAUAACUUCAGGAAACUGGGGCUAAUACCGGAUAGGAGCUUCUGCUGCAUGGUGGGGGAUGGAAAGUUUCGGCGGUUGGGGCUGGACUCGCGGGUUAUCAGCUUGUUGGUGGGGUAGUGGCUUACGAAGGCUUCGACGGGUAGCCGGCAUGAGAGCUGGGACGGCGACAUUGCUCCUGCGAGACGGACCAGAAUCCUACGGGACGCAGCAGGGGGGAAUAUUGCAGAAUAGGCGGGAGCCUGAGGCAGCAACGCCGCGUGCGGAAUGACGGCCUUCGAGGUGUAAACCGCUUUCGCCUGUGACGAAGCGUGAGUGACGGUAAUGGGUAAAGAAGCACCGGCUAACUACGUG